CACGUAGGGCGCAAGCGUUGUCCGGAAUUAUUGGGCGUAAAGAGCUCGUAGGCGGUCUGUUACGUCUGCUGUGAAAACCCAGGGCUUAACCCUGGGCUUGCAGUGGAUACGGGCAGACUAGAGGCAGGUAGGGGAGAAUGGAAUUCCCGGUGUAGCGGUGAAAUGCGCAGAUAUCUGGAGGAACACCGGUGGCGAAGGCGGCAUCCUGGACCGGUAUUGACGCUGAGGAGCGAAAGCCAGGGGAGCAAAGCGGG
rnacentral:rRNA from 1 species